rnacentral:rRNA from 1 species
UACGUAGGGGGCAAGCGUUGUCCGGAAUCAUUGGGCGUAAAGAGCGUGUAGGCGGCCCGGUAAGUCCGUUGUGAAAGUCCAGGGCUCAACCCUGGAAUGCCGAUGGAUACUGCCGGGCUAGAGUUCGGAAGAGGCGAGUGGAAUUCCUGGUGUAGCGGUGGAAUGCGCAGAUAUCAGGAGGAACACCGGUGGCGAAGGCGGGUCUCUGGGCCGAUACUGACGCUGAGGAGCGAAAGCGUGGGGAGCGAACAGG